AAGCAAGACAUUCAAAACACUCUUAUGCUGGCAAAGACAGCCAGCUAAAUUAUAGCUCUGAUGUGCUUACGAUGAAAUUAAGAGAACUUUUAUACAUUUUUGCAUAAUUUAAUGUUAUCAGGCAGAUUUUCAGCACAGAGUCUGUAUAAAUGUGAGGGUGACACCAAAGGGUCUAUUUAAAAAAAUCUUAGACAUAUUUCAGUAAACAGCAUCAUCUCAAUUAACUGAUUUUAGCUGAUAGUACAAACAAUGUCUUUUCUACUGCUGUAUUUCUCUAGAAUCACAGAAUUGUUAGAGUUGAAAAUGACCUCGAUGAUCAUGAGUCCAACAUUUGAUUGAACACAACCAUGUCAACAAAACCAUAGCCCUAAGUGCCACACCCUGUCACUUGAACACUUCCAGGAUAGUGACUUCACCACUUCCCUGGGUAGCUUGUUCCGAUGCUUAACAACCCUUGCAGUUAAGAAAUUCUUCCUGAUAUCCAGCCUGAACCUCCCAUGGUACAGCUUGAGGCCAUUUCUUCUUGUGCUGUUCCUGGUUGCCUGGGAGAAGAGGCUGACCCCAACUGGUCAAAUUAGGUGAUCAUCCCACUGUACUCAGUGUUGGUGCAGCCUCACCUUGAGAACUGUGGGCAGUUCUAGACCUCAGCACUUAAGAAGGACAUGAAAAUUCUUGAAUGUAAUCCAGAAUCAAGAAGAGGGCAUCAAAUCUAGUGACAAGGCUGAACAGCAAGGCCUGUGAGAAGUGGGCUGAUGAUUUCAUGUUUGUCAAGUUUGGAGAAAGUCCCAAAACAGUUGACAGCAGAAAUGACAAAGGUACUGACAGAAAAAUUUUUUUGUUCUUCAUUUUGAUGUUGUGGAUCGAUGUCCAUUCCACCAGCAGCCUCCAAACCACAGAUCACAUAGUGCGUGACUUCCAAGUCAACAAGAGACAUUUACAGCUAAUGGAGUGACUGGCAGCUCAAGAGAGCCAUUGCCUCCACCUGUUACAGAAGAGCUUUACAACAGGAUAAACUGCUUCUGUAGAUGCCUCUACAAAAUGGCAGAGAAAACCUGCCCUAUUUGUACCCUAGGAAGCUACUCAGAAGAAUUUCUGAACUGAAAUGGUUUCCCCAGGGAAGUUGUUGCAUUGGUAUGGUGGAAUAGUUUGAUGAGGUCAGAAACAAAAUGGGUCCUUGCAAGAUUGUGAAGCAGAGUCCUGUUGACUCUUGAGAGACUCCUUUUUGAACAGACCAGCACAGUGAGAGAGAAGAAUUAACCCUUUCUUGGGAGUGGUUUGCUCUCAGCAAUAGAAAUGCCUGGAGUGUUCCUGCAGCCCCUCUCUUCAAGGAAGACAUAAAUUUAUCUUAUAUUAUUGAAAUGCAAGAAUCAAAGAAGGUGCAUGGUAAGGGAAUAAUAAGGUGCUUUAAAUACCUGCUACCUCCAACAUGAAAUAGCCAAUGACACUUUGUUAUGGCUUUGCAGUGCUAUCUUUAUGGCUUCCAUUUAGCAAUUUUCUUUCAGAGGUUUAUAAGGCCCUGCCACAAACUACAGAAAUUGUACAACCAAAGAUGUGUUGCACCAAACUGUGAUACAGACAGUGGAAGAAAAGUAGACUUGAUUAAACCAAGGCUUCUGCCACAGAAAUUGUCUUGGUUUAAGAAAAUUUACAGAUUUACAGGGCAGAAACUCCAAAAUUAAUUACCUCUCCUUUUAGUCUUAACUGCUCCCCUUCAAGCCAUAGGGAGAGAUGUGUGUAAGAACAUUUAAUUGGAAAAAUAACUAUUCACUAAAAAAAUGAAACAGCAACAAUCAAUAUAACAGUAAUAAGCACUAGAUACAACAGUGCUGAAACCCAUGGAUUACCUGGGAACAAAGAGCUCAAGAUGGCAGAUAAGCCCCUCCCUGAAGAUGGCAGGUGCCGUAAAAGACUGUGUGGUUCAAGGGACAGAAGAAGAUGGCAGAUAAGCCCCCUUCUGAUGAUGUGGUUGACAGAGAAGAACAGAGAGAGAGAAAAGAGGGGAAAAAAUCAAGAGAGCAACUGAACCUCUGCAGUAACAAGAUCUCCCUCUUCCCCCAAACAACAACCAAAAGGCAGCAGACAAAACAAAGAGAAACCUUGAUUCCAAAAGCAGCCAAAUGCCAUUUGAACUGUUUGCUCCACACCACUCGACAGGGUCUCUCCCCCGUCAGGGCAGUUCUGUUGGCAAUGGUGGCUGGAACUCGGGCAGUGGCAGGAAAUAGCAGUGUUAAUUUCUCUACAUUUUUGGCAGGCUGGAACCAGUUGGUGUCAGCACUGUAGUUCUGAGUUGGUACCACGUUGCAGAGGAAAAGAAGCAGUUCUGCUGGGCUCCAAAAAUGGGAGACCCUACUCCCAGUCCUGGCUUGGUGGCUGCAGACAAGUAUUUGCAGAGUUUGCCCAUGGACAGUUUAGGAUUGGGAAAUGCAGUUUCUUGGAGAUCUGCACCAAGCAAGGAGCUCAGAGAGAAACAAAACAAAGUUUCUGCAUUGGCUUGGAGAAGCAACUCUCUUAGGAUCCCCACAAGAAUGGAAAGAGAAAAAGGAGACCUUACAUUAGUGCUGCUCUCUCUCUUAAAGGCACCUUGGGCCAGACAGGUUCCUGACCCCUGGCUCAUAAAGGAACAGUAACAAUCUUGGGCAGAACUGGUGUAGCACAGAUGCAAUACACAAUACAAUACACAAUUUUCGGGUUACCUAGAACAGAAAUGUUUCUGUUUUUUCAGAGCCCCUCAAUUGAAAGUAAGCCUGUUUACAUAAUUUGAAUGCACAUUUUCUUCACAUCAACGUAAACAAAGAAAAUUUACUUCUGCCGAUAAAUCCUUGUAUAUAAGCAUUUUAUGAUAUGAAACUUCCUAACUAUUCCUUAUAAUUACUUAAAAACAAUGACUUGUUUUUACUAGCUCUUGAUAAGGAGCAGAAAAUAUAGCAACUAAGCAUAACUGAAGUUGGUAACACUAUGGAACAGUGUUUGCUGCAAUCUAGGGAUGCUAAGAACAAGCAAGAAAUAAGCCAAAUAAGUAAAAUAAGAAGUCAAAAAGUUUUGUGCAAAACCAGAAAGAAUUUAGAGUAGAUAAAAAACCAAGCAAAACCAGAGAGAUCAGGAAAGACUUUUCUCUAUAUCACCUAAGA